GGGGUUGAAACUCAGUGAUCACUGUGGUCCUUUUCAACCCAGGCCAUUCUAUGAUUCUAAGUACAGGUGUCAUUUUGCAAAGACUGUCUACUGUAUACGCUGCUUCUUACAGCAGAAGGGUUUUUUUCUAUCACAUCAGACUCUGAAUUUACCCUCCAAGAAGAAAUAGUUAGCUCUUUUCAAUGUUUCAUAUAUCUCCAGCUGUUUCUUAGGAUCUCUGAGGCUAUCAUUACAUACUGUAAGCUGUGCUCAGUACUGUUUUGCUAUAAGUUAUCAUGCUUUUACUACAGACACAUAUAUACAUAUCUGUAAAGAGGCAUGCAUGUAUAUGGUUGCUCUGUCUGCUUAGAAAUGCAGAAGGAUGAGUCUCUGAAAAUGUAAGAUUUCAUAUCCUUAUUAGACUGUGCUGUGGCAGCAGUGUGAGAAGCAAAUGGAACAGCUUGUGUUCUUUUCCUCAGCUGUGCUGGCUAGAGAUGAGUGGAUGCUAUAUUGAGAUCACGUGGUGAGGGCUAAAUGAUUUUUAUAAAUAUAUUAAUGGCUUCCAGGAGGAGUUUUGCAGAAAAUUGUAUUUUUUUUUUUCUGGAAGAGAAAGAUAUACUGCUUUUUCCUUCAAAGACUAAGUUGUUACGCUUCCAACAUUGAUAGCAUGGCUGCGCUGACAACUUUAUAAUAGCUGUUUAUAUACUGUGUUGUAUAGAGGGCUAUAUUUUGUAGCCUUGGCAUUGUUAGUAAAAUAUUAAGAACAUUAAUUAUUUUUAAUUUGGAGCGUGUCUUAUCAGGAGGGAUUGUCUGCCUUUUACCUUUUAUUGAGGGAAAGUUGCGUCUUAUUUAUGAAUUCUGCUUUCGAUUUCAGAAGCCACUUAAAAGAAAGGCAAAGCAAGAACAGAUACAAAGUUAUUGAGUUAUACCUAAUUCCUGACUUGUCUGUGACCUUCUCUUCUUAAUACUGUAUUCUAGUAAUCCCUUAUCCUCUGGAGAUUGCCAAUUAUAAUCCAUAGCACAAUUCAGUAGGAUAAUGCUCUGAUAGAGGAGCAUGGCAGGUGGUAGUGAACAGAAAACUCAUUCUCCUUGUGAGGAAAUCCCAGUUCAAAUGGGUGACAGAUCUCUUGUGAUCCAUUUGUUGUAUUGGCCUGCAGGUUGCAAGUAAUGGUUCAUGCUUCAUAUUUUGAAGGAUUUUUAACAAUUCCACCUUGAAGUAAGUGACCAACUACAAAUGGAAUUAUUUGAAAUAACACUUCCAUUUUAUGAAAUGGAGCUAAGCAAAACUUCUCAUGCACAGAGGUGUUUGGUUUCAUUUGGUUAACGUUAAGACACACUUACUGUCUUAUUCAAGUCAAAUUAAAACAAUGUACUUCUUCCAAAAGAUUGCCUUUUUAAUGUCAUUCUUUUUUAGAUGUUUGGAGCACUACAAAGAUCAGGAAGAACGUCACGUUUGGUCGAAGUUGCAUGCUCUGGGCAGACUGUAAGGGUUCGUGUUACCUGUGAUCAUCCCCAGCUUACUGUAGGGAUGGGAUGGCCAUGUGUGGAGAGGAUGGGCAUUGUAGCCAUGGAUCAGUGUGCAAGCAUCCCUCUGGGUCGAAGGGAGAGCGUGUCAAAGGACUGAAGCACUUUAUCUCCCGUUCUUCAACUUGAUUGAUUGCCCUCCUGUAGCUGUUCCCUCGGCAUUCCAAAAGGACAGUUAGAAGGUGUUUGUUUCCCUAGAAAAAAGUAUUCAAGUCAACAGCUAAUGAACUUCUUUAUGAAUAACAUUUUCAUGUUCAGCAGUGUUAGCUUUUCAUGUCUCUAGUACAUUCUCAAUAAAUAGGCAUGAAAUGAUAACGGCAGUUAGGCACAACUUAUAAUAAAUGGUAGGUUGAAACGAAAUAAGCUACAUCUUCCCCCCACGCAAGGGAAAAUAAAGCCACCUUCCUUGUAAAUAACAAAGUUAGCAUUCAGGAGGAUCUGCUGCUAUUACAUUCGUGGUAUUUUCAGAAGGUAAUCCAUGGACGAAAAACAUGAAAUUGAAUAUUAGAAGUACAUCUAAAAAUAAGAUACUCUCUAAAAUCAUAAUUUUAAAAAAUAUUUCAGAAAUCUUUUACGAAGAUACUUUGCUCUUGGUUGAAGUGAAAGCCAAGUUGAUUGCCAAGCAUCAACGUUUUCUGUGAACUGAAGAUUCAAAUUGUAGUCAGCAUUUAACACUAGCUAAUUAUGUCAAUGUAAAGGAAAAUUGGAAAUACAAGUAGAGGUCAAAGUGGAUUCAGGGAAGUCACUUGUCCAGCUCCUUGCUUACUGCCUGGCAGGCAUCAGAAGUUAAUCAGGUCCUUGGCCAAUUGCACUUAGAAAGAUUCCAAGGUUGGAGAUUCCAGUUUCCCUGGGUACCUGUUCCUAUGCUUAGCUGCUUUUGUGGUAACACCUUCUUCUGUCUGAUCAGAAGUUUCCUUGUUUGACCUUGCAGUGGUUGCCCAUCAUCCUUCUGGUGUGUGUUGCUGAGAAGAAUCUGGUUCCAUCUUCUCUGAUAGGUGAGGAAACCAAGUAGGUUGCCCCUUAGCCCUCAUGCUCCAGUCCCCUGUCUGCAGUCUAGAUGGUCCCCUCCUGGACUCUCCAGUUUAUUACUAUUUCUUUUGUACUGGGCUCAACACUGGAUGCAGUAUUCCAAAUGAGUGUCAAAUAAAGGGGGUGUCUUUUAUGUUAGUUCCCUUCACACCUUGACUGUAUAUCUUACCAUAUGGUUAGCCUUCAUCAUUGCAGGGACGUACUGUUGUUUUUUGUUCCACUUAUCCACUGGAAUAUCCAGACCCUUCUGUGCAGAGUUGCUCUCUGAACAGUCAGUCCAUGUCUUGGAGCAACACCAGGCACUAGUCAAGAUGCAGGACGUUAAGUAAGGACAUUUGUCUUUGCUGAAUGUUUCUCCAAAUUGCUAGGAUCCCUCAGUUGGAAGUGCUAUUUUCCAGCCUAGCUAACGCUUGUUGCAGGUUGGUGUCUCCGCGAGCUUGCUGAAAAUGCAGAUAAUGAGACCAACUGCGUUCCUGCCAGGGAGCACGUGGAUUAGUCUACAUCGCUGCAAGUUCACAUUAAGCUGUCCUGUGUUUGACCAUCUUCAAAAACAAAACAACAACAAACCUAGUCUUGUCUGCAAGGCUGCCAUAUAGAGACCGAAUUUGAUGUAAGAGCACACUUUAGCCCCAUGCUCUAUUUUACAUGGAGGAUACAAGGGAAAACUCAGAUGUGCUUGAGAGGCUUCCAAGUGCCUUCCCAAAAUUCACUCGGCACUGUUCCCAGGCCUUCUGCUUGUUCAUUUUUCACUUACCACCUGUGCAUUCAGAUUUAUCUGCUGGCUUAUAAAGUUCUUUUUAUAUGAAGUUCUUGUUUCCCAAUAGCCUCACCAUUUCUUUCAGUUGUAGGUCUGACACAGACCAUCACAGAACAUCUCUAUGACAUGUAUGAGGUGGCCAGAGCAUCAUUUAAAAACUCAUUUCUGAUACAACUUCAGCAAUUAGUGUUUCCUUUUCUGAAUUUCCUCUCUGCAUUCCCAGCAAUCCCUAUUGUAGGAAGAAAACUUUUACAUACGUACAUACUUGCCCUUCGUUCCUUCUUUCUGUGAACUAAUUCCCUGAAGAAAAAAGAACUGUAGGUAUGCAAAUAUCACCAUUGUAUGCAGAUGCUUCUUUGCCUGAAAUAAAGGCUUAAGCCUCUAGGCAUUACCCCCAGGCACGGGAAGCUGAUAUCUCUGUAUCCAAGUACUGAGUCUGGUGGACAGCUCCUCUCUCUUUUGUCUCUGUAGAUAGAUUUUUUUUUUAGGUUUACCUAUUUACCAGUGCUGCUGCUCUCUGUCUGGAUGCUCUCUAGGAGGCUUGUUGUUUGUUGAGAUGAAAAUCCUGGUUCUUUCUCAUGGGAUCCUUCACUCAUCUAGAGUCUCAGCGUCGGGUGGUCUUCUCCCCGUUCUCAAGCAAACAGGAUGCUAAAAACUUUGAGGAAGAACCCUGCCUUUAAUCCCAGCAUCCUGUCGUACCAUGUCUUAAUGAAGUACCCAGCUGUGAAGAAGCUGCAAAGGCAGAAUGCAGUGAUAGGGGGACAGCGCUGCAGGGUCAGGCAUUUCAGGUGGAAUAAACCUUUGAAAAGUGUAUGUAUACAGAUACAUAUAUGUACAUUUAAAGGAAAAUCCUGUAAGAAUUUUGUAUCAGCAUACAGUGACAAUAAAAUUACGUAGUUACUGUAAAAUUGGGAACAAUCAGAGCUUUGAUACCAUAUGACCUUCAAUAAAACACCAGUUUUGGAGUGGACAGUGAGUAUUUGCUUUUGUUUGUGGAGUCAUACUUGAUAUUAUUUGAGUAAUAAAAGACCUAACUCCAGUGGCUGAGGUCAGGUAGUUGUCUGAGUCUGUUUAUGCCAAAUGGAGUGUUCAGUCCAGUCUUGAUUCUGUUCCCCAGCUGGUCACAAAUUACCUGACAGAAAAGGCUGUUGGAGAGAACUGGGAAGGAUUUCUGUGCCUUUAUACUGUGGUGGAAGCUGUGUAAAAGAGCUGAGCAGGAGUGCUCUUUCUUUUAGGUGUGUCUGUGCAAGACUCUCACACAUUUGUGAAAUGUGAACAUUCACUGCUUAAAAGAAUGGCUGAAAUGAACUCAGCUUCAAAUGUUUAAACAUACUUACACGCAAUUGUUAAUGGUAUUCCUGCAGCCCUAAUGAGCAAUUAAAAGUACACGCAGAAAUUAAUCUCUCAGACUUGAGAUGAAUGCAAAAAUUCCUCCAGUUAUGCCCAUAGACUUGGUCAUAUGGAAACUCUGCAAGAGAGGUUCCUUAGUGGGUUGCUGCUGUGAACCAUUUUUAUGGUUCUUUAUCUAAUCUCCCAUAUACUAGGAGGAGCUCUGACAAAUUUCUUCUUUGUGGAUCAAGCAGAGAUUUGAUAAGGGAAUACUCGAUCCUGCCGUUUAGAAGUUUUGGCCAAAGUAAUCCCAUGGCUUCUUUUCUACUUUAGACAAUCAUAAGGCUUUUCCUUUCUCUCUGAUGCUCUUUCUAGCUUCAAUUUCUGUUUAGUGGGUGAUGCAUGGUUCUUGUAUAGCUCAAGUUUGAGAAUGGGUUAUAGUCUGUUAAAAAACUGACUUGGUCUUGACAUGUGGUUGUAUUUGGUACUGCAUAGGCACUAUCUCCUUUUGCAUGUGGAAAAGGGCAGUCAGGAUCACAGACAGCCCUGUCCAGGUCUUGAUUUUUUUUGCUGUGUGAGGAAGCUGCUUACAUCUGAGCAAUGCCAGUGUUUUGCAUCAGCUUUUAUUUCCAUGCUUGAGUGCCACUUCCAUUCUCUUCCUGUUUGUGCCCAUCUGUUUCCAGAAAGCACUAUUGAGCUGUCUGCUGAGAGGAUCUGUAGGGUUCCUGCCUUUUCCAGGAAAAAUACAGCUCAGGAUGAUGUUGGGUAGGUCCUACACUGUCAGGCUUGCCUGGGACCUUAGGGAAUAUGUUUCUUUGUAGCAUUUAUGAAGAACAAAUGGUACUUGUCUCAAGUAAGGCUUGCCAAGCUGGGACAAAUUUUGUAUGUAUGCUUGCUCUGAAGUUUGUAAUAUUCUGGCAUGGAAGCAGUGUGAAAACUGUUUCCUAAGGUCACAGCUAUUCCUUCACAUAAUGCAUACCUGACAUUAAAGUAUAAAACUGAUCUAAUAAGAGCUAGCUCAUGCACAAGCCACCAGUCUGAGGAAAUACACAACAGGGGCAAAAAGUGUCAGUUUAUAGCAGAUGCUGUGUGCAACUUUGAGCCUCUUCAAUACAGGAAAGACAGUGAUAAAUGGGACAAUCCAGCAGAGGUGGUCAGGGCCUCAGACACUUGGUUUAUGAGGAGAGGUUGAGGGAACUGGGCUUGUGUAGUGUGGAGAAGGGUAGGCUUAAUAUUGGCCUUCCAGCACCUACAUGGAUGUCAUGACGAAGUUGAACACAGGCUUUUCACAGUUAUGCACGGCAGAAGGACAUGCGUUAAUGGGCAUAAAACUGAAACAAGAAAGACUGGAUAUAAGGAGAAGCCUUUUCACCACGAGGACAUUCAACCAUUUGGAACAGGUUGUCCAAAACACUGUGCAGUCUUCUCAUAUGUUUUAAAGACCUUGAGGAUAAAUGCUUGGGAAGCCUGGUCUGAUCUUGCAGGUGACUCACCUUUAAGCUGGAGGCAGCAAGAGGUUGUACUUAAUGACCUUUCAAGAUCUUUUCCAGCCUGGAUUUAUCCUAUGAAUCAUAGAAUAGAAUCAUAGAAUGGCCAGGGUUGAAAAGGACCACAAUGAUCAUCGAGUUUCAACACCCCUGCUAUGUGUAGGGUUGCCAACUGCUAGACCAGGCUGCCCAGAGCCACAUCCAGCCUGGCCUUGAAUGCCUCCAGGGAUGGGGCAUCCACAGUCUCCUUGGGCAACCUGUUCCAGUGCGUCACCACCCUCUGUGUGAAAAACGUCUUCCUAAUAUCCAACCUAAACCUUCCCUGUCCCAGUUUAAAACCAUUUCCCCUUGUCCUAUCACUAUCCACCCUCAUAAGCAGUCAUUCCCCUUCCUGUUUAUACACUCCCUUCAAGUAUUGGAAGGCCACAGUGAUGUCUCCCCAGAGCCUUCUCUUCUCCAAGCUAAACAAGCUCAGUUCCCUCAGCCUUUCUCCAUAGUAGAGGUGCUUCAGCCCUCUGAUAAUCUUAGUGGCCCUCCUCUGGACCUGUUCCAAGUGUUCUACGUCUUUCUUGUGCUGGGGGCCCCAGGCCUGGAUGCAGUACUCAAAUGAGUACAACAAUCUAUGAUUGUUGUUGGCCCUUUCUGAAACUGACUUGAAUGUCUACAUUCUCUAAAACUUGGGAUAGAUAUUGUAUGCUGUUGCACAGCAGUUGAGGUAAAAAGUUCUCAGUAAGCAGAAUGUCAAUAAAAGCCUUCUUGAGAUUAUCAAAGGUCUUCAAGAGUUGUGGAGAGAAAGAAAGUUCUCAGUUUUAUCUGUGAGUUUAUUCUGUCUUUGGGACUGAAUUUUUUGAUUUUGGACUGAGUAGAAAUGGUUCCAUAAUAUUAGCCAAGAAUUCAGUAAGCACUCCAAAUAAAUAAAUCACUUGUCUGCAGGAAUCAUCAAAGCUGUACGUGCUACUCCAUCUGGUGGGGAAAUCAAUAACAACUUCCACUGUUUAAAGGUGCAGAUAUUUCUUAAUCACAGAGGCAGGGUUUUGAUUUGUUUUGUUUUUCAAGCUAUUUUGCAUCUGUCAGCAAGUGUCCUUGUUUUUGCAAUUCUUUCACAGACAAGAAAUCUUAACUCGGGAAUUUUGUUUUUUGUACAUUUCUGCACCUACAGUAACUAUUUUCCCCCUUUUUCACAAUGAGUAGCCCAAAUCAAUAUCGAUGAUGGGCUGCAAACGGAAGACACAGUCCUGAAAAAUUGGACCUCCUCUUCUCUAUACAUUGUGAACUCAGAAUGUGAGUAUCCCAGAUUAGUUAAAAUUUCCAGAGAAAAUCUAAGAAGUUAGUCAUUUUUUAUCCAGAGUUGCAUUCUGUUUGUAGAGGUCGUCCCUCUGUAAUCUCUCUCUACACAGCAUCAUCAACUGGAAGCUUCUUCACCAGAUUGCUGAAUGAAUUUAUAUAGACUAAAAUGGGAAUGAUGGUGCUUACAGCGUCUGAAAAUAACAUGAAGUAUGUUAGGUUGGAAUUUAAAUCUUGUGGAUUUUUGAGAAAUAAUAGGAAUAUUUUCUUUCUAUAAGUAACUGAACUUCACAGCAAAUGAAGGAGUAAAAGCCUAACUAAGAGUUAUAUGGACUUUGUAAAUGCUUAUUUCCUUUGUCAAGCAGUCGAUGCAGUGAUUUGGUUAGAACAGUUGUUACAUUUCAGAAGUUGUACUGAGAGAGCUUAGCUUGGUAGCAAGUCUGUGAAGUGUCUGUGCUGGUGUUCAGUGGAGGACAAGCCACACCAAUAUUAAAAGGGGAUAUUGUAUGCCAUUCAUAGACUGUUUCCUGUGAGGCCAAAAUGCAAUUCCUACGAUUCAGAUUGCGCUUCGUCUGCGUGAAGGACAGAUUUAGACCCACCAGGGAAAGAAAAGCUGUGAAGAAGAGGAGGAGGGCUAACAGCUUACUUCUUGGCUGUUAACAUUGAAUAAUUAAACAGUAACAGCCAAAAGGAAAGCUGUUGUUUUCCUAGUCCAAAUACCCAACCAGGAAUAAAACAUUAAGCAGCUAUACAAAUGAUUUCUUUCAUUUUCCUUUCAUUCAACAAACAAGUGAAGUUAAACAAUAUAUACUUUGGAUACAUGGAAUAUAAACGCAUUUUGUAUAUCCUGAAGCAUCAUUUCUGGAAUUUGAGCUUUGCGUGUUGCAGGUAAAUUAACCUUACUUAGUGUGCUCAGUUUUUUUCCCUAAAGUUCAUUUGGCAUUUGUAAAAAAAGUAAGGCUAAUCAGAAUACUAAAGCUUUAGGUCAUGAAUACCUUAUGGUAAAGAACCCGUUGAAGUGCUUGUGUGUGCAACAACUUACCUGUUUGGUUUUUUCCAAUGUAUUGUAUUUGAUUAAAAAAUACUAUUAUUUGUA